AUUUGAUAAUAAAGUUAAAGGAAGAUAAAAAUCAUGCUUAACGUGAUAUUCAGUAAAUACACAUAGUAAGCACAAAAUUAAAUUCGUCAUUUUUCACGCAAAGGAAAAAGAUAUUUACUUGUAAACGUUAUUGUUGAACUUGUUGUAACUGCCUAGAGCUACCAAUGCACCUAAACCGAGAGCCUAUAUAUAUUAACGAGAAAUUAAUAAUGUGACAAUAUUACCUCGGGAUCACCGAGUUUUGAGAGAUUUGGUGUAGCAUAAUAUUUCAAACCUUCCGAAGCACCGGGAAGUGUCAGACCUCUUAUGAGCAGCACUGCUAGUAAGGCGUACGGAAAAAGAGCCGUGAAAUAGACGACCUACAUUACAUCAUGUAUAUAAUUUACAGUUUUAUAUUCGAAAAACAAAGAUUUGAGUUUGCAAGAAUCCGCUAUACCUUGCCAGUCCAUUUGACGCCUUUCCAGAUGCAAAAGUAGCACAUGAUCCAUACGACUGCGAGCGUACCAGCUAGUUCCCAUCUUAUACCACCCACGGCUUCGAUGCCAGUUGAAAUCUGCAGGGUCCGUCUCCUUUUCAUGACAGAAAACGCGAAUUAUAAUUAAUUAAAGCAUGAAAAAGACUAAUAACUUACUCCCAAAAUUCCUUGACUGGGUCUUUCAGCAGUUCAUGGCUCAAAUUCCCGAGAGACGUAGCGCAUAUGAAAUCAUUCGGCCAGUAAUCCUGCCAGCAUGAAACAUUCAAACGUUCAUCUGGUGUGAUGCAGUAGCGCGUGUUCCAUGAAUUGUCGCACGUUCUCCAGGAAAAAAUAUUGGAGCAUAUUGAAAUGCUUUAUAUAUGCUCACCGGCUCGUAAAGAGACUAAGAAGUAGAAGAGUGCCCAAGCAAGAAUGAUGAUAUAAUACACAUUGGUCCAGCAGGAGAGCACGCAAGUCGCAUAUCCAAUGCCUAUUAAGAAAUCAGCAUUGUCAUUGUCGUGUCC